GUUAAUGUUAGUUAUUCUCAUGCACUGCUUCAUUGGUUUGCCCUUAAAUAUCUGGAUUGUAAUGUGUGAAGCUCCUGCUGUUACACUCUUGUUUUGCUGGGCCGAGAGUCAUCUUUCUGUGAUUGACUAUUGCUAUUGUAUUGCCGAUUAAAUUAUCGUUUGAUUCCGGUGGAUGAGGGAUCCUUAUUGUUACAUCAAUUUACUACCGAUCUCUUGAUUAAAUUAUCUAAACCUUUAAUGUUGGCUGCUAAUUUAAGUGAUUUUUGUUCAUGCUGGAUUUUUAUUGGGUGAUCAGAUUAGUCAAGAGUAAAUACUCAAAUUUUUGCUGCUAGAUACUAUUCAUCCUUUGAUUAAUUAUCGAAGAUUAGAGCACAUUGUGUUUCUGGUUGUUCCCUUGUGCUUGUUGUUUGUGCCGUGCAUAUAAGCUAAUUGUUUGUUAUUUUUUACAAACCUUCCUGUAGGCUUCACAGGGUCAUCUCAAGGGAUGAACCACCCGAACCAAAAAGAUGUCUAUGGGUGGCUUGAUCUAGAUGUUUCAUUUAGUAUAGAUCCAUAUCUUGACAGUCAGUCUAGUGUGACCAUAUUAGACAGUACUACAGAGGCACCACUGCUACUUGAGUCUAGGUCAAAUUCGCAAGCAACAUCACUUAUAGGUGCAGAACAACCAGCAAUACCAAUUAUUGAUUGGGAUAACCUACAAACCUAUGAAACCCAAGAUGACAAAGGAGGAUAGAAAUUAUGAGUGAGGAUUAGAUGUAUGUGCUUUUGAGCUUAAGGGGCAAGGAUGAAAGGGCAAAAAAGGUUGAAAAGGAUGGUGCCCAGAAAAGGGCAUAGGAACCAAGUUCUGCUAGAUUCUCUCAAGGGGAUCAUAUUGAAGGUGUAGCCAUCCCUGUUGAUGAUGUCAUUCCAGAUGAGAGGUUGAUAUGUCAUGGCAAGGAUAACCCCAGCAUGGAUCUUGGCACUAUAUUCCCUAACAUGAAGGAAUCUAGGCUGGUUGUAAGACAGUUUGCAAUAAAAGGGGAAUUUGAACUUACACCGAGAAAUCUGAUAAAGAGAGAUUAAGAGUUUAUUGUAAAAGGUAAAGGAUGCAAUUGGAAUAUAGUUGGGCGCAUACAGGGUGAUAAAAAAACUAUAAUGGUACUAACUUGCUAGCUAACAUUUAUAAUAUUUUUGUCAUAUUUAUACGAUGCUAACUUUUUUUUUUUUUUGCAUAUAAUACUACAGGUCAUAAUUUUGAAUAAUGAGUAUAAUUGUACAUCAAGCAACAUGACAAAGACUAUAACACCAUCUCAGGCUUGGGUUGCUGAUAGAUCUCUACCUAUCCUUAGGAAGACUCCAAAUAUGGGUGCUAAAGAGUUGCAAAUCAAAUUGCAGGAUGAUCACAAACUCACAAUUGCAUAUGACAUAGUCUGGAAGGGAAGGGAGAGAGCUCUUCAAGAGCUAUAUGGAGGUUGGGAAGAGAGUUUACAAAUGAUGUACAAUUGGAAUGCUGAGGUCUUGAAGAGAUCACCCGGGAGUGCUUGGAGAUUGACAUCAAGGAAGUAGAUGUCAGAGUGUACUUCCAUAGGUUUUUUUGUUCUCUUAGCCCCUGCAUUGAGGGGUUUAGAGCUGGAUGUAGGUCAUACCUUAGCAUAGAUUCAACAGCACUUAAUGGAAGGUGGAAUGAACAUUUAACUAUAGCUACAGCUAUAAAUGGUCAAAACUGGAUAUAUCUAGUUGCCUUUGGAUUUAUAGAUUCUGAGACUAAAUACAAUGGGGUUUAGUUUAUGAGUCAACUUCAUAAGGCAAUUGGAGAUCUUCCUGUUCUUGUGGUCUGUACGGAUGCUUGUAAAGGGCUGAAUAGAGGGAAUGCUUUUGGCAUCUCAUGUGGAACUUCAUCAAGCAGUACCAUGGCGACACUUUUGGACACAUGUAUCCUGUAGCAAGGGCAUAUAUGACUGAAGUGUUUGAGAAACACAUGAGCACAAUUCUUAGCGAUGAUCCUAAUGUAUGGGACUAUUUGAUGAAGCACCAUUCUCUCAAAUGGAUGAGGUGUGCCUUCAACACCGAUAUCAAAUGUGACUAUAUCACCAAUAAUCUAGCAGAGGUGUUUAACACUGCAUUAGGGACCUUCCUGUUGUUGGUUUAGCUGACAAGAUAAGAGAGAUGAUUAUGAUUCUCUUGGAGAAGAGGAGAAGGAUGGGAGAAAGGAUGCAUGGCAGGAUACUACCAGCUAUCAUGGUUCGGUUGAGGGCAAGCACUAGAGGCUUAGGACAUCUUAGGGUUGUGAAAGCUGGCAAAGAUAGUGUCGAGGUGUGGGACAAUAGCAUCAAUCAUGCUAGGCAUGUUGUUAAGUUGAGAUUCUAUGAGUCCACAUGUCUUGAGUGGUAGCACACUGAUAAGCCAUGUGAACAUGCUUUAGCCUUUCUAACAACACAAAAAAUGCGCAGUUUGAUGAAUUUGUACAUAACUACUUCUCUCUCGAGAAAUUCAAGGCUGCAUAUGGUGGACUUACAGAUCCAAUGACGGAUAAGUCACAGUGGCCUAAUGUUGACUUACCAUUUGAAGUGGGGGAACCACUUGUAAAUGGAGUGCAGGAAGGCAAAUGAAAUUGUGGAUCAAAGGUUGCCUUGAAGGUGGUAGCAAGUCUGGUGACAAGGAAAAGAAGAAAAAUAUGAUUAGAGGUCUAGUCACAUGUCUUAGAUGUGGUGAAAAGGUACAUAGACAGGCUAGCUACAAAUGUCCCCUGAAUGGGACCAAAAAAGGCAAUUAUUUGAGUCAACUAUUUACAUUGCUUGCUUAUUGCAUUGUAUCAAUGUUACAUUUUUACAUUGCAAGACUUGAUAUUUUUUUAUUAUGUCCUUGCAGGAAGGGGAAGCCUAGAAAGAACAGCAGCAAAGCAUGGCCAAUUGAACCUAGCACACCUCAAAGGACAACUAGGGAGGCAAUACUAUAGGACAGUCCAGGCAUGGUGAUAAGAAGGUGCCUUGCUAUGUUACUUGGAGAAGACACUUCUUCUCAGUCCGCUUUUACAACUUGACCUCCAACUAAAAAGAGUACUCCAAGAAAGCUCAGUCUAAAGAAGAAGAGGAGGAACUGAGCAUUGUUAUGUAAGCACUGUUAAGUGCCAGUCAGUGUCAUUUGCGAGAUGUAAGCAGUGUUAUAUAUCAUGUCAGCACUAUUUGUGAACUUCCAUAGUUAGUGUCUUUGAUGAGAUGUUAUUGUCUUGUUAAUGUUAUUUGUGAACUCCUAUGGUGUCUUUAUGAACUAUGACUAUGUCAUGUUUUACCAUAUUUUUGUACGAAUGGAUGAGCAGUGAACAGUACCUCCUUAAUCUUCUUUAUAAUGUGUGAAUGUGGAUUACCAAUUACU